rnacentral:siRNA from 1 species
CUACUUUUGUAACCAAUUCGAUGC